CAACAGCUCCCUGGCUCCCACAAUCAGGGGCAGCUGAAAGACAACAGUAGGGACAGAGCUAUUGAACAAGAGAGGGCUUGAAUAGCAAGGGCCUGUGGAUACAGUGUGUGCCCGGAUGGACUUGGCCCAGCUAUGGGGGGGUGAGAACCGCGGCCUCUCCCACGUGGAAGGCAGCGACGACUGGGGUGAUGAGUUAGGAGGACUGGGUGUUAUACCCUUCAGUCAUUCCCUCAUCCCUCUCAGAGACUCUCGUCCACUCGUCCUCACCGAUCUGGACAUGUGGGACAGCAGGUCUCACUUUAAAUCUCAGUCCUUAGCGUGGAGUAUGGCAUGUAGGACUGGAGGGUUCCUCUCCAAAAUGAGCACCGGCACCUCCGCUAAUGGCAGAGACAGUGGCUUCAGCAGACAGAGUGACCCAGGGCUGGGUAAAAGAAGAUGGCAGUCGAUGUCUCGCCUGGCCCCCGAGGGCGCACCCCGGUCCCUCUCCCCUGUCUCCCCAGGGGUUGAGCUGAGAGCAGCCCUGGAAGAGAGUGGCUUUAGGCGAGCAGAGCUGGUGCAGAGGCUGCGGGAGGCCCAUGGACGUCUGGACAGCCAGACAGACCUGCUGAAGAACAGAGACGCACAGCCGCAGCACAGCAGUAGUACUGCACAGCUGCUGGAGACGAAACACAAGCAGCUGGCAGAUGCAGUGAGUGCUCUUGAGCAGGAGAAGGAGGCAGCUGAGUUGAGCCGGUUUGAGGAAAGUCGACGUCGAGGAGAACUGCAAGACAAGGUUCUUCGACUGGAGAUGGACAUGUUGAAGAUGAGGUCAAACCUGAGUGUUAUCAAACCUGCGGCCCCAAGAACUAACAACAACCCACUCAGCAGGACCUCACCUGUUACACAACAAGACUUGUUCAGAGAGGAAAAGCACAGAGCAGAGAGAGAGCUGUCCAGACUGAGAGAGGCCCUCAGAGAGGCCGAGGAGAGAGCAGAGGCCCUGGAGACAGAGAGAGACCUUCAGCAACUACACACCUCUAAAGAGGCUCAGAGGACUGUGUUGAACCAGACAGAGGAAGUGAACCAGAGACUGGGUCGGGCCUUGCAGACCCACAGUGAGCUGAAGGACCAGCUGAGUGAGGCACGCAGUAAGCUGGGUCAGGCCACUCUGGAGAGGGACCUUCUGACCUCCAAGGUGUUGCGGCUGGAGGACAGUGUGGAGGACCUGAAGAUCAAGCUGACCGGGGCCAUGUCUGACAAGGACCGCUUACUGCAGGAGAAGGCAGACCUGCACCAGCAUGCUCAGGAUCUGGAGCUGCAGUUGGAGAGGGCCCAGAGAGGCAGGGAAGGCUACACAGACCAGGUGUGUGAGCUCAGCAACCAGCUGGCUGAGGCCAAGGCUCACACCAACAGGCAGGGGCAGGAGACUGUGCAGAUGAAACAGGAACUUCUGACUGUGACAGAGAUGAAUGAAAAGAUGACAUCAGAGCUAGAGAUGGUCAGACAGAGGCUGGAGUCCUCAUUGGCUCAGCUGCAUGAGCUGGGGGCGGAGAGAGUCAUCCACACCAAUCAGAUCGCAGCUCUGGAGACGGAGCGCUCGCAGCUGAUUGGAGAGAAGCAGGAGUUGACGAGUGCUAUUGGACGGGAUGGAAGACAGGAGGAGGAAGUGACAGAGUUGAGGGAGAAUUGUUGUCAGCUCAGUGAAUCCCAGGAUGCCUUGGAGUCAGAGAACCAGAGGCUGCAUGAAUGCUGCCUGACCUUGGAGGCAGAGCUCCUGGAAAAGGAGGAGGGGCUGUGUCAGAAGGGGGAGGAGCUGCAGAGGUUGGAGGCUGAGUCGGCUCAGAACAUGGAGGAGCUGAGGGGUGUGGCCUCACACUGGAGCGAGAAGUGGCAGGAUGUGGCUAUGGCGUUACAAUCCACCCAGGCAGAACUAGAGGAACUCAGAGAGAAGAACCCUGGAGAUACACUUCAAGAGGAGGUGGUACGGCUGAAGGUGGAGGUUGAGAGACUUCAGGGACAGAGAGAUAAGGAAGAGAUCCAGACUCUUCAUCAGCACUGGACCAGUAAAGAGGCAGAGCUGAGCAGAGUCAUUAAAGAUGCCGGUUCUCUGCUGAAGGUAGAGCUGAACGCUUGUAAACAACAGUUGGAGCUGGAGAGGAGCCGGACUCAGGCUCUACACAACAGACUCAAAGUUAAAGACAACCCUCAUAUAUUGGGUAGGGGAACGGUAGAAACGUUUGAUAAAGGGACAGAGACAGAUAUACCACAACAGACACGGGAUGAACAGGUCUCGCUGGAGGAGCUGGGCCAGGUGAGGGCAGAGCUACUGAUGGUCUCCCUGGAGGAGGUGGAUGGGGGCCAGGUGUCACAGCUAAAUAGUGAACUUCAGAGGCUGGAGCUGGAAGUGGCAGAGAGAGAACAGCACCUGAGGGAGAAGGAACAUGCUCUGAGGAGUCUGGAGAGACUGAGAGAUGCCGAGAGGACAGAGGCGCAAAUCAAGGUUUCUACACUGGAGCUGAAGUUGAUUAACCUAAAGGAGCAGGCCGGUGGAGAAGGUCUAUGUCAUGGAGGCCAAGAACAAGCUCAGCACACUGACUCACUGAGGUCUCAGCUAGAGGAGUGCAGGAGGAGAGCCAAUCAGCUGCAACAGGAGAGAGACCAGGCAGUUCAGAGGCUACAGACUCUACGCCGGCUACAUCAGGCUACGGAACAGGAAGCAGCUGCAGGCAGCAAGAAAGAGAGAAUGGUUUGUGUGGAUAACAUAGUGAACCAGGAUAAACAGAGAAGACUGGUAACAGAACAGCUGAAGAGUCUAUUUAAGGAGCGUGAGCAGUUGGGUCAGGUCUAUGGUAGAUCAGCAGGAGGAGGAGGAGUUCUGCAAGACUGGGCACCGAAGUCGAAGGUCAUCAAGAACUCCCUUGACACACUACACAGCCAGAGGAAGAGAGAGAAGGAGCUGAUGAGGGAGCAGCAGUUUGCAGGACUGAGGCCUGUGUCUGAGGAGCAAGAAGAGGAGGACGACCCAGAGAGGGAGGUGGAGGAGGAGGUGACUCGCCUUAGGGAGGAACUCCACAGCAAGACCCACGCGCCAAGCUAAGGUUUCAGCCACAGAUCCAAGGGUUGGGCGCCACAGCGUCUAACUCUUCAGAGAAGACCACGUCAGAGAGUGAGGAGCCUCUUCUAUUGGAGAGAGACAUGCAGAGGGGAUCAUCAUCAUCAUCAUCACCACCACCCCGCUGGGAAGAUGGAGUGUUCCUGGCUAGGCAGGUGCAGAUCGGCAGCCCUGAAUUGGAGGGGGAGGAAGAGGAAGAUGGAGGCUGUGGCUGAUGCAUACCUGGUCCUAAUUUGCUCCCUACCCCUUCUCCUUGGCCCUGAACUACUUCAAGGUUGUCAGAUCUGAAGCAUCUAUAUACGUAGAAGCAGUAUUGUUGUAGAGCUUCCACUAUAUUGCUUCCACCCCUACAGAUCUGCAAACAUUGAAGCUAAUGGAGUCCUCAGUCUUCGUGUGAAGUCUUACUAUAGUCAUGCAAUGAUACAAAUCCUAAAAAGGUUGUACAAACCAGUGUUAAUGUCAAUCUACUGAUUAGUGGUUAUAAAUGUGGUGCUUUUGUUGAUGAUUAACAAUGAAACAGGAAGUGAAAUGUGUUCCAUUGAUAAUAGUGAGAUGACAACAGAGGAUGAUUUUCUGUAAUACGCCUACGCUAUAUAAGCUAAUGAUCCAAUGAAUAGGGCUGUGUAAUAGUAGUAAUGUUAAUGUGGUUAAUACAUUAAAACUACAAUGUUACCACAUACAGCACAACAAUUCUGGAGGUUUGUGAUUUGCCCAUUUUGUUGUAAUUAAAAAACGAUUGCAUUAAC
ensembl:lncRNA